GUGCUGACUUGGGAGCACGUGUACUAAAAUUAGAACAAUACAGAGAUAAACAGCGCCCCUGCACAAGGAUGGCGUGCAAAUUCAUAAAGAAUUUCAUGUUUAU